AUUGAACGCUGGCGGAAUGCUUUACACAUGCAAGUCGGGCGGCAGCAUGGACUUCGGUCUGAUGGCGAGCGGCGAACGGGUGAGUAAUAUAUCGGAACGUGCCCAGUAGUGGGGGAUAGCCCGGCGAAAGCCGGAUUAAUACCGCAUACGACCUACGGGUGAAAGCGGGGGAUCGCAAGACCUCGCGCUAUUGGAGCGGCCGAUAUCAGAUUAGGUAGUUGGUGGGGUAAAGGCCUACCAAGCCUACGAUCUGUAGCUGGUCUGAGAGGACGACCAGCCACACUGGGACUGAGACACGGCCCAGACUCCUACGGGAGGCAG
rnacentral:rRNA from 1 species